rnacentral:tRNA from 1 species
CAAAGGUUAGUUUAAUAAAAAUAUUAAUUUUGGAGAUUAAUGAUAAAAAAUUUUUUUACCUUUGA